rnacentral:rRNA from 1 species
AUUGAACGCUGGCGGCAUGCUUUACACAUGCAAGUCGAACGGCAGCACGGGUGCUUGCACCUGGUGGCGAGUGGCGAACGGGUGAGUAAUGCAUCGGAACGUGCCUAUCAGUGGGGGAUAACGCUUCGAAAGGAGUGCUAAUACCGCAGAUUCUCCGAGGAGGACAGCAGGGGACCUUCGGGCCUUGCGCUGAUAGAGCGGCCGAUGUCGGAUUAGCUAGUUGGUGAGGUAAGGGCUCACCAAGGCGACGAUCCGGAGCGGGUCUGAGAGGAUGAUCCGCCACACUGGGACUGAGACACGGCCCAGACUCCUACGGGAGGCAGCAGUGGGGAAUUUUGGACAAUGGGCGAAAGCCUGAUCCAGCCAUGCCGCGUGAGUGAAGAAGGCCUUCGGGUUGUAAAGCUCUUUUGUCCGGGAGGAAAUCCUGGCCUCUAAUACAGGUCGGGGAUGACAGUACUGGAAGAAUAAGCACCGGCUAACUACGUGCCAGCCGCCGCCGUAAAAC